rnacentral:rRNA from 1 species
GUGUUACUGACGCUCAUGCUCGAAGGCGCGGGUAUCGAACAGGAUUAGAUACCCUGGUAGUCCGCGCGGUAAACGAUGGAUGCCCGCUGUCGGGGCUGUUAGCUCCGGCGGCCAAGCGAAAGCAUUAAGCAUCCCACCUGGGGAGUACGCCGGCAACGGUGAAACUCAAAGGAAUUGACGGGGGCCCGCACAAGCGGAGGAACAUGUGGUUUAAUUCGAUGAUACGCGAGGAACCUUACCCGGGCUUGAACUGCAGGAGAAGGAUACAGAGAUGUUGACGCCCUUCGGGGCUCCUGUGGAGGUGCUGCAUGGUUGUCGUCAGCUCGUGCCGUGAGGUGUCGGCUUAAGUGCCAUAACGAGCGCAACCCCUCUCGCCAGUUGCCAUCGGGUUAUGCCGGGCACUCUGGGGACACUGCCACCGUAAGGUGUGAGGAAGGUGGGGAUGACGUCAAAUCAGCACGGCCCUUACGUCCGGGGCUACACACGUGUUACAAUGGGGGGCACAGCGCGCCAGCCGCCGGCAACGUCGGCUCAAUCGUGAAAUCCCCCCUCAGUUCGGACUGGGGUCUGCAACCCGACCCCACGAAGCUGGAUCGCUAG